ACAGACAAAUGGGUUUAGGGUCAGAGCUAACUAUGCGCGUGUUAGAUAUCUUAUCUAGACAACUGAAGCUAUUAAUCAAUUGUUAAGAGUAUUUGGUUUUGGAUUGGUUUCAUUUGUCUGUAUUGGUUUGAAUCGGUUUGGUGAAUCAACUGAGGACCAGAGAGGAACAAUAACAUGAACAGAUGAAACAUGUUUGUUUUGUUUUGGUAGUAAUCUAAAAACCCGUAAACACAUACUGGCAAUGCAAAACGUCAGAAGACAUUUAACAUGUUUGUUUUGUUUUUGGUAGUAAUCUAAAAACCCGUAAACACAUACUGGCAAUGCAAAACGUCAGAAGACAUUUAACAUGUUUGUUUUGUUUUGGUAGUAAUCUAAAAACCCGUAAACACAUACUGGCAAUGCAAAACGUCAGAAGACAUUUAACAGGUUUGUUUUGUUUUUGUAGUAAUCUAAAAACCCGUAAACACAUACUGGCAAUGCAAAACGUCAGAAGACAUUUAACAUGUUUGCCCUGAAGUUUAGUAUGUUCAACAUUGCAAUGCAAUGGGAUACAUACAUGUGCCGAAGUCCCACUCCUUGGUGAUGU